rnacentral:misc_RNA from 1 species
GAAAUGCGAUAAGUAAUGUGAAUUGCAGAAUUCAGUGAAUCAUCGAAUCUUUGAACGCACAUUGCGCCCCCUGGUGUUCCGGGGGGCAUGCCUGUUCGAGCGUCAUUUCACCACUCAAGCCUCGCUUGGUAUUGGGCGACGCGGUCCGCCGCGCGCCUCAAAUCGACCGGCUGGGUCUUCUGUCCCCUCAGCGUUGUGGAAACUAUUCGCUAAAGGGUGCCACGGGAGGCCACGCCGCAAAACAAACCCAUUUCUAAGGUUGACCUCGGAUCAGGUAGGGAUACCCGCUGAACUUAAGC